rnacentral:rRNA from 1 species
ACGGCUGUCACUUACAGAUGGGCCCGCGGCGCAUUAGCUUGUUGGUGGGGUAACGGCUCACCAAGGCAACGAUGCGUAGCCGACCGGAGAGGGUGAUCGGCCACAUUGGGACUGAGACACGGCCAAAACUCCUACGGGAGGCAGCAGUAGGGAAUCUUCCGCAAUGGACGAAAGUCUGACGGAGCAACGCCGCGUGAGUGAAGAAGGCCUUCGGGUCGUAAAACUCUGUUGCCGGGGAAGAACAAGUGCCGUUCGAACAGGGCGGCGCCUUGACGGUACCCGGCCAGAAAGCCACGGCUAACUACGUGCCAGCAGCCGCGGUAAUACGUAGGUGGCAAGCGUUGUCCGGAAUUAUUGGGCGUAAAGCGCGCGCAGGCGGCUUCUUAAGUCUGAUGUGGAAUCUUGCGGCUCAACCGCAAGCGGUCAUUGGAAACUGGGAGGCUUGAGUGCAGAAGAGGAGAGUGGAAUUCCACGUGUAGCGGUGAAAUGCGUAGAGAUGUGGAGGAACACCAGUGGCGAAGGCGGCUCUCUGGUCUGUAACUGACGCUGAGGCGCGAAAGCGUGGGGAGCAAACAGGAUUAGAUACCCUGGUAGUCCACGCCGUAAACGAUGAGUGCUAAGUGUUAGAGGGUUUCCGCCCUUUAGUGCUGCAGCUAACGCAUUAAGCACUCCGCCUGGGGAGUACGGCCGCAAGGCUGAAACUCAAAGGAAUUGACGGGGGCCCGCACAAGCGGUGGAGCUUGUGGUUUAAUUCGAAGCAACGCGAAGAACCUUACCAGGUCUUGACAUCCUCUGACCUCCCUGGAGACAGGGCCUUCCCCUUCGGGGGACAGAGUGACAGGUGGUGCAUGGUUGUCGUCAGCUCGUGUCGUGAGAUGUUGGGUUAAGUCCCGCAACGAGCGCAACCCUUGACCUUAGUUGCCAGCAUUCAGUUGGGCACUCUAAGGUGACUGCCGGUGACAAACCGGAGGAAGGUGGGGAUGACGUCAAAUCAUCAUGCCCCUUAUGACCUGGGCUACACACGUGCUACAAUGGAUGGUUCAAAGGGCUGCGAGACCGCGAGGUUAAGCCAAUCCCAGAAAACCAUUCCCAGUUCGGAUUGCAGGCUGCAACCCGCCUGCAUGAAGCCGGAAUCGCUAGUAAUCGCGGAUCAGCAUGCCGCGGUGAAUACGUUCCCGGGCCUUGUACACACCGCCCGUCACACCACGAGAGUUUGUAACACCCGAAGUCGGUGAGGUAACCUUUACGGAGCCAGCCGCCGAAGGUGGGACAGAUGAUUGGGGUG